CUGUUCGCCAUUUAAAGAGGUACGCGAGCUGGGUUUAGAACGUCGUGAGACAGUUCGGUCCCUAUCUACCGUGGGCGCUGGAAAUUUGAGAGGAUCUGCUCCUAGUACGAGAGGACCAGAGUGGACGAACCUCUGGUGUACCGGUUGUGACGCCAGUCGCAUCGCCGGGUAGCUAUGUUCGGAAGGGAUAACCGCUGAAAGCAUCUAAGCGGGAAGCCUACCUCAAGAUAAGAUUUCCCUAGGACUUUAUGUCCUCUAAAGAGCCGUUCGAGACUAGGACGUUGAUAGGUUGGAUGUGGAAGCAUAGUGAUAUGUGAAGCUGACCAAUACUAAUUGCUCGUGAGGCUUGACUAUACAACACCCAAGCAGUUG
rnacentral:rRNA from 1 species